rnacentral:rRNA from 1 species
UGCGUAGGCGGCGCUAUAAGUCAGAGGUGAAAGGCCACAGCUUAACUGUGGGACUGCCUUUGAUACUGUAGUGCUUGAAUUAGGUUGAGGUCGGCGGAAUGUGACAUGUAGCGGUGAAAUGCUUAGAUAUGUCAUAGAACACCAAUUGCGAAGGCAGCUGACUAGACCUUAAUUGACGCUGAGGCACGAAAGCGUGGGGAGCGAACAGGAUUAGAUACCCUGGUAGUCC